UACGUAGGGGGGCUAGCGUUGUCCGGAUUUUAUUGGGCGUAAAGAGCGUGUAGGCGGCCAAGUAGGUCCGGUGUGAAAACUCGAGGCUUAACCUCGAGAUGUCAUCGGAAACCAUUUGGCUAGAGUCCGGAAGAGGAAAGUGGAAUUCCUGGUGUAGCGGUGAAAUGCGCAGAUAUCAGGAAGAACACCAAUGGCGAAAAGCAGCUUUUCUGGGGACGGGUACUGACGCUUGGAGAACGCGAAAAGCGUGGGGGAGCGAACAGG
rnacentral:rRNA from 1 species